GUCACCACCAUCUUUUUUUUUUUUUUUUUUAAUUCUGGCCACUCACCUCUCUAUAAGAAUCUCUUUCACAUUCAUCAUACAAAACUUUGCGCUAAUAUUUUACAGACAAAAUUAUUCAAGUAGUCAGAAAUCAAUCCCUGAUUUGGAUGUGAUGCGUGACAGAAGCACCAUCGGGACCCCAUACAAGAGUAAAUCCAUAAGGUACCAAGUUGCUGCAUGCGCUGGCCAGAUAAUUUCGUUGACCUAGAUGCACGUGAACAUCAUCACACCCACCCCUACCAAACAUAUCACAACAUUAUUGCUAGCUUGAUCUAUAAAACUCAAUGCAUACAGAGAGGAUUGACAAGAAGAUCAGCUGGAACAGAAGCAAGAAAGCAGAGGAGAAGAAGGGGAUAUUAGCGAAGCAAAGGUAUGGGAAUUUGGCUAUACGAAGUGAAAAAUAUUUCAACGAAAGCUUUGCGCUUGAAGAAGGGAUCUUCUAAUUGGCAACUAAAUGAACCCACCAAUGUGGUGGAUGUGGUAACUGGGUACUGGGAUGACGACUGGAACUUCUCUUUUGGUGAUAUAAAUGUGAGAGUGUUUGACGAUGGGAAAUGGGGAUUGCAGAUUGAAGUCAAAAAAUCUGGCAGAAACACUUUAAGCAAUAAGUGGGAAAUAAAAGAGAACUACACGCGAGUUAAUUUUGUUUUCGAAGAAGACACAGUUUGGGUUUAUCCCACGACUCAUCCCUUGAAGAAAGAUGGGCAUGAGCAUCAGGCAUGGUCUGUGAAUCUCCACAAAGAAUGGAAAUGGGAGCCGUAUGACGUCAACGCGUGAAUCCAUCACCCAUGGGUUUCUGGCUUUUGCGUGUUGUUGCUUGCGCAAAGUAAAUAAUUACCGUAUGCAAUGAGUGCUUCAUAUCUGGUUGUAAGGGUUUUUCUUUUGAUUACUUGUUUUGGUUUUGUUGCUUAAUUUAGGCUUUUCUACCCUGAGAUGGGAAAGCAGUAGUACGCAGCUGCCACUACAGUUGUCGUCCUUUUCUAAUAAGAGGGUUUUUGGUUCA